GAGACUACCUGAGUUGUUUUUCAGGUGUUGCGGUGGCUUUGGCUGCGUCCAGAUACUUUUGCUAUUGCUCCUCUCCUAUCUAGCUAUAGAGAAGCAAGGAUGCCACAACUCAUCCCUAUCCUGGUCCUGGUUUUUUGAGAGUGCCACAUCAAAGAAGGUCUUUGGGCCAGGAUGUGGCUCAGGGUAUGGUGACAAAUGAUGAUGGCAAGCUUACCCUCUGUCCCCAACCAACAAACCACUGAUGUAUCAUGUAAUGGAGUUGUGCAACAAAAUUGUGUGAGAAUGUAAAACGCUACAUUUCCAACCCCAUUUCCAAAAACGUUGGGAUGCUGUGCAAAAUGUAAAUAAAAUUUGAAUGCAAUGAUA